CAGUCAAUCGACCAAAUUUACUAAUCAAAAUGUCUAAUAAUUCUAUUUCCACCAUUGAAGCGCAACCAAGAAAGCUUGCUGGAUCAGAAGCAGGCCAAGCAAGCGGAAGCCAACACCAUAUCAGUAAUGAUGAUAUCGAAACAAGGGAAUCUGAGGAGAGACAAAAGCUAAUCGAUGGAAAAUUACCAAUAAUCUCUAUGAGUUUGCCGGAGUGGUUAGCCUCCUUAAAUUUGGAUCCUGGUGCAUUGAAGGAAACUAUACCACAGCCACAGAUACGGAAGGUACCUUUCAAGUAUAGAAAAGAUAAAGAUUUCGAGAAGUACUACCAACCAAGGGUGUUUGCCAUUGGCCCUAUCCACCAUGGCCACCCUCAGUUCGAGUAUGCUGAAAAUGUCAAGCAUAAACUAGCCGCUGGGUUUAUUCGGUAUACUGGUCUAGAUUCAAAAGAUGUAUACGACAUGAUUAUGAGGAAUUUGGAGGUAUUCAAAAUUUGUUACGCGGUAGAUGUAAUAAAAAGCUAUAGCAAUGAUGAACUGGCCCGGAUGUUCCUGGUGGAUGGUUGCUCUAUUCUUCUCUUCAUAUAUGAUGUGGUAAAUGGUGGAAAGCUGUUGACGGAAUUGCGAAUCAGGGAAGUUCAAGUCGCGUUUAUUCAACGAGAUAUAUUCUUGUUUGAGAAUCAACUACCGUAUAAACUCCUCCGGCACCUGAUGUCCUUGAUUUCCCGUGAGUCUAUAAAGAGGAGGUUUAACUCGUCAAUCAGCGAGUUUAUUGGUUCCAAUUUAAUGUCAAUGGAAAUAUCUAGAGAUAUAAUACCAAAGGAGAAGCCAACCAUCUUCUAGAUCUUCUACGAACAAACCUAGUGACGAACUUCAAUCACAGACGACCAUCUUACGUUUUCUUUCCAUACACGUUUCGUAAUGUGAGAGAGCUGAUAGCAUCAGGUGUAGAGUUAAAGCCAACUGGUCAAAUCUGCUUAGACAUUUCUUUUGAUAACCAUUUAUUUAUGGGAACUUUAAAGCUACCUUCUCUUGCAGUAAACGAUUCAACAGCGCCUAAGCUGUUGAACUUGAUUGCAUAUGAAAUGUCUCCGGAUUUUUUAAAUGACCUCGAAGUCACAUCUUAUGUAUGUUUCCUCGACUCGCUUAUCGAUCAUCCUGAAGAUGUCCAAGAGCUUCGAAAGGCUGGCAUUCUGAGGAAUUAUCUUGGUAGUGAUGAAGAAGUAGCUGCACAGUUUAACAUCAUAGGCAGAGAUUUAGUGCUAAAUCUUGAUGUUUAUGGGCAUGUUACAGAUGCUAUUGAAAAGCACUGCAGUAGAAAAGCUAUUAUAUUUAUGGCUCAGGCAUAUCAUGUCUAUUUCGGAAUGCCAAGGACUUUCAUUGCAUUUGUUUGUGCUUUUUUCAUUGCAUUUGUUUGUGCUUUUGUUGGACUCUUUCUUACUGCUGCUCAGACUUAUUUCUCCUGGAAUUCUAAAAAACAGUGAUAUAACA